CAAGUUUUCAGGGUUACGGGAGAUAUGAGUGUUUCUUGUUGCCAUGGUUUGCAUAAUAUAAUAUACAUUCCUGACCCGCUGGAAUCCUCCUGUCCUGAGCAGCAGCUGCGUGGAGCUGCAGAAGGAACAUGUGCCAGCAACCAGGCCAGGCACAAUGAAAAGAGGCCAAGAGUGAAGAGAAGCACACGGUGAUUAACUUUCCAAGCAAAAAGAUGCUUGGAAUGUGUUCAGGGUCUACAUCUUUCUGCAGAAGAAGGCUGACCCCACAAACAAGGGAAGCCUGGACUAGCCAGACCACAGUGUUCCCCAUGGUGUAGAGAAGACCGUUGAUCCUCAGCAGCAAAACAUGAAGGUUCUGCUGAUGCAGGGCAUGCACAGGAAAAAAGGAAGUAAAAUAGCAGCUUAUUCUUUCUGUCUUGGAAGAGGGCUGAGCACUUGAUUCAGUGGACUGAGGAAAGAAGACUGCGCUUGCCAUGUGGGGAGGCAUCAGUCACUCCACUGAGGCCGAAGUAGAGCACCAAGCUGGAAAACAGGCCUCUAUCUCACGGAGCUAGGACAUCCAACUUCCGACUUUGGACACCUGGGCCUCUCGCUAUUGGCCCUUCACACUCCAGGAAUUACCCUAGAAACCCCUUGAUCCUCGUGUCUUUGGCCUUGGACUGGGAAUAAUGACUGCUGGUUCCAUAGGACUUGGACUCAUAUGAAGGGCUUUGCAGGUUCUCUCCAGCUUUCAGGCAGUACAUCAUUGGACCUUUCGUCUGUAUCAUCAUAUGAAUCAAUUCCCAUAAAUUUCCUCUUAAAUAUCUAUUUAAAAUUGUCUCAACCUAUAAUGGAGUUACAUCUCAAUGAACAUAUUUUAAGUUGAAAAUAUGUAAAAAAUGAACUUAAUACAGCUAACUUACCAAACAUCAUAGCUUAGCUAGUCUAUCUUAAUUAUGCUCAAAACAUUUACAUUGCCCCAUGAUUGGGAAAAUUACCUAAUACAAGUCUAUUUUAUAAUAAAGUAUUGAAUAUCUCAUGUGAUUUAUUGCACAUGACACUGAAAGUGAAAAACUGGUUGUAUGUAUAUCUUUUGCUCUGUUGUAAAGCUGAAAAAAAUCCAGUGUUGAACCAUCACAAGCUACAAGUGAGGGACUGUCUGUAUCAGUUCUAUUUCUCUGGAGAAUCUUGAUUAAUAAAAGGGCUUAGAGACCA